rfam:Cedecea davisae DSM 4568 genomic scaffold Scaffold0, whole genome shotgun sequence.
AGCUGUAGUCAGGCGUGAAGGGUUCGAACCUGCAGCAGGUUUGAGUUGAGCGAAAGCGAAACAACGUUGCUUAGCAACGGCCCGAAGGGUGAAGUCAUCCUGCACGACCCACAA